AACUCAAACCCCGGCGCUGAAUGCGUCAAGGAAUUUUAACUUUGCUCUGAGCGCAUCCGCAUGGCACCGGAGACGGUUUCCGUGCGGGCUGUGUUUUGACACAUUAUAUAGAAUGACUCUCGGCAACGGAUAUCUAGGCUCUUGCAUCGAUGAAGAACGUAGCGAAAUGCGAUACUUGGUGUGAAUUGCAGAAUCCCGUGAACCAUCGAGUCUUUGAACGCAAGUUGCGCCCGAUGCCAUUAGGUUGAGGGCACGUCUGACUGGGUGUCACAUAUCGAAGCCUCCUGCCAGUUUCCUUUUGACGGGUAUUGUGCAGGGUGGAUGUUGGCCUCCCGUGAGCUCUUUCGUCUCAUGGUUGGUUGAAAUUUGAGACCUUGGUAGGGUGUGCCAUGAUAAAUGGUGGUUGUGUGACCCACGAGACCAAUCAUGCGCUGCUCUAUUGAACUUGGCCUCUUUUACCCAUAUGCGUGUUUCUAAACGCUCGUGAUGAGACCUCAGGUCAGGCGGGGCUACCCGCUGAAUUUAAGCAUAUCAAUAAGCGGAGGAAAAGAAACUAACAAGGAUUCC
rnacentral:rRNA from 1 species